GCGAGCGAGGGCGGCCGCCGCGCAACGUCGCAAGGAGAGCCCAAUGAUCGACGCGGCCACGCUCCAUCCGAUCACGCAAUCAAGAUCACGCUGAUCGGAGCUUCCACUGUCGACUUAGGCGUGGGCGAUCGAGCGUGGCGUCCACGGACCCGUGAGACCAUCCGUUAUAGAGAGAUCAGAUCCAGGCGCCGUCAAGCUGAAGGCUUCAUGCAUGUCUCCAGCAGAGAUGUUUGAAUGUUGCAAAGAUAUGUCAUAAACAUUCGGCUGGUGCUAAGAGAAGAAAACGAAAACGAGUCAUCAUAUACAGGUUCUAAGUCUCUGGGCAUUUUUUAUUGGUCGCUAUUAAACUUAUUCAAUUAAGAACAUAUCAUUGUGAAUUA